rnacentral:rRNA from 1 species
GAUGAACGCUGGCGGCGUGCCUAAUACAUGCAAGUCGAGCGAACAGACGAGGAGCUUGCUCCUUCGACGUUAGCGGCGGACGGGUGAGUAACACGUAGGUAACCUACCUAUAAGACUGGGAUAACUUCGGGAAACCGGAGCUAAUACCGGAUAAUAUUUCGAACCGCAUGGUUCGAUAGUGAAAGAUAGCUUUGCUAUCACUUAUAGAUGGACCUGCGCCGUAUUAGCUAGUUGGUAAGGUAACGGCUUACCAAGGCAACGAUACGUAGCCGACCUGAGAGGGUGAUCGGCCACACUGGAACUGAGACACGGUCCAGACUCCUACGGGAGGCAGCAGUAGGGAAUCUUCCGCAAUGGGCGAAAGCCUGACGGAGCAACGCCGCGUGAGUGAUGAAGGUCUUCGGAUCGUAAAACUCUGUUAUUAGGGAAGAACAAACGUGUAAGUAACUGUGCACGUCUUGACGGUACCUAAUCAGAAAGCCACGGCUAACUACGUG